GGGAUCCUACAGUGUCAAUAACAAUGAGGAUGCAAGAAGAGAGAAGUGAGACAAAAUGAUUGGAUUGUGGAGUACAGUUUGAAGAAGUCUGAAAAGAUGCAGGAACAUGAUCACAGAAAAAAAGAAAUGGUGCCUGUUGCCAAAAAGAGAAAAACCUAAAUAUGUUAAAGACACACAAAGAGGAAAUAGGAGAUAUUUGAGCUGAAAAUAGUGGCUUUGCUGGUGGUCGUGGUGUGCGUUUUUAAGGAGCAGCAGGACAAGCAUUCUUCGCCUGAUGCUCCACGUUGAGUGGUUGUGUGGAUCACAACUCCGGAUUCACUUCCUUCACCUUCAGACAGAGAAUCCCUUGAACCCAGCUACCAGCUGCCUCUGCAAGCUCCAACUAUCCUCCAGCCUGCGCUCCAACUUUACUGGAAGCACACCUUCUGACCCUCCGGAACGCUGCCUACGGAUUGUGCCCCAAGAACCCCC